ACCCAGUGUCAGAAACAGGCAGCCUGACUAGAGAACAAACUACCAAUUAACGAGCGAGGAAACAGGGCCAGAGAAUUGGAACAAAAUACAAGGCUGCCUCUGAAAGGAAUAUCUUUGUGCUGAUGUGUCCAUCAAGAGAACAUACACAGAAGUGACACUUGCCAGUAAUUUGCAAGCAGAUGGAACUUCAAUAUGGCAAUAGAGAAAGAAUCAAUUAGACCAGAGUCUCCUCAGGAAGACUUUCUAUAGAUAUCUGGUGAGCAUCUGCUAGAUGCCAGGGUUGGGGAGAGUCAAGUUGAAGCAAGCAUGAACCCUCAAGGACCUACCAUUUCAAGGCAAGAAAUAGAUACAAAUACAGCGUAAUUAUCUCUCCAAUUAAAGAGCAACCAAGGGACAACUGAACUGGAGGUUCUGCAGAAUUACAACUAAGCACGCAGCCGAGGAAUCUACUCAGCUUUGAUCUCUUAUCGCUCUGCACACACAGCCCUUUCUCUGUAAGGCUAGCUGCUCUCAGCAUCACUGUGUCUAAUCAAACGUGUCACACCUCCACUGAGAAAAUAUUUACUGGAUAGCUACUAGACAUAAGGAUGCAGAAAUGAAUUAGAAAAAUUCCUCGCCCUUGUUCAAAGCUAUGCUGGCUCUUAGAACAUCUGAGCCCCCACUGUUUCAUCUUUAGAGGAUCCCAGCUGCUGGGGUGUGAGGCCAGUGCUGGAGCCAGCAGUCUCUGACCCAGAAGGGACCUGAGGUGCUAAAGAAAAGGGUACAAGCUGGAAAAGGGGAAAAUGAAUCAUGCUACAGGCCAAGUGUCCAUCACUGAUUCCCAGAGAUGCCCUUUGUGUGGUAGGCACUUCCAUGUGGACUCGCUACAGAGGUACAUGCAUAGGUCCAAGAUAGGCGUCCCUCAGCUCAUGGCCUAUAUUCCAGCUUGUAGACUUUUGCUAAGGAUGACCCCUCACCAGUAACCAGCUCUGGUCCCAAGCUCCUGGCUGCAGUCUUUAGUGUCCACAAACCCACAGAGGCUCAUCAUCCUCAACUGUGGGAGUGCACCUUUUCCUGCUGGUUCCUCCUCGUUGCCCUGGUAUUUCUCCAAAUGUUGUUCUCCCUCUGCUCAAAUAGGCAUGGAGCAGGGGCAGAUCAGAAAGUAUGAUGUCCAGCCAUCCUCCAACCAAAGAACAAAGUGCUAGACUAUCAUCAUUGCACGUACCCCCAGUCUCUACUGGGGAUGCCUAAGAGUCUUCCUUUCAUGUUGUGAAAUGAGGAGUGACUCUUCUGCUCCCAUUGUGGGGAGGAAGGGAAUAAAUAGACCCCCACACAUGUCAUUGUCCUGCUG
rnacentral:lncRNA from 1 species